rnacentral:rRNA from 1 species
AUGAGAGGCAGCAACGCGAGGCUGCUCUGCGCGCUGCUGCUGGUGCUGCUCUGCGUCGCCGCGUGUUUCCAGGGCGCGUGCUGCCGCGGCGGAGCGGGCGGCGGAGGGAGGGGUGGAGGCGGGAGGGGCGGCGGCGGAUGGAACGGCGGCCGGGUCACAACGGGGUCGCGCGGAAGCAGCGCCGCCGGCGACCCACUUGCGCACGGAGUCUGGAGGGUCUCCGGUGCCGCCGCCACCCUCGUGGCCGCGGCGAUUCUUUGGUGA